CUGCAGCUCAAGUAGUGACCGCUAUUAUUGGGCCUAAAACGUUCGUAGCCGGUUUGGUAAAUGCCUGGGUAAAUAGUGUAGCUUAACUAUACGAAUUCCGGGUAGACUGCCAAACUUGAGACCGGGAGAGGCUAGAGGUACUCCUGGGGUAGAGGUGAAAUUCUGUAAUCCUGAGGGGACCACCAGUGGCGAAGGCGUCUAGCUAGAACGGGUCUGAUGGUGAGGAACGAAGCCCUGGGGCGCGAACCGGAUUAGAUACCCGAGUAGUCC
rnacentral:rRNA from 1 species